rnacentral:lncRNA from 1 species
AAAAGACUGAGUAUUAUACAUUGUCCAGGACACCAAAAAGGGCACAACCCAGAGGCACGAAGAAACCGGCUGGCCGAUGCCACGGCGCGAGAAGCGGCCAUGAACAAACAAAUCUUGACCUUAAAUAGCCCAGACCAACCCACGCCCCCACCAGUGGGACAAACCAGUUGGGUUUAUGCCCAUGAGGACAUAGAGCUCCUAAAAAAAUGGGGGCCAUCUACCACCCUCAACUAAAACAGUGGGUCUACAAAGAAAAGACAGUUAUGCCAAUAAAAAUGAUUUUUAAAUUGAUCUCCUUUUUACAUAAAUUAACCCAUUUGGGGUUUAAGAAGAUAAAAACC